GUGGGGAAUAUUGGACAAUGGGCGCAAGCCUGAUCCAGCCAUGCCGCGUGAGUGAUGAAGGCCUUAGGGUUGUAAAGCUCUUUCAGUGGGGACGAUAAUGACGGUACCCACAGAAGAAGCCCCGGCUAACUUCGUGCCAGCAGCCGCGGUAAUACGAAGGGGGCUAGCGUUGUUCGGAUUUACUGGGCGUAAAGCGCACGUAGGCGGAUCGUUAAGUCGGGGGUGAAAUCCUGGAGCUCAACUCCAGAACUGCCUUCGAUACUGGCGAUCUUGAGUCCGGAAGAGGUGAGUGGAACUCCUAGUGUAGAGGUGGAAUUCGUAGAUAUUAGGAAGAACACCAGUGGCGAAGGCGGCUCACUGGUCCGGUACUGACGCUGAGGUGCGAAAGCGUGGGGAGCAAACAGGAUUAGAACCCGUGUAGUCC
rnacentral:rRNA from 1 species